UGAGCACCUGUUUCCGACAGGGGUGCAAGUGGAAGACUCUGGAGCUUGGACGCCUCAGUAUGGAAGAGCCUGGCUCUACUGCUUACUGUCUGGGUGACUGGAGGAAACUCAGCUGUAAAAUGAGAUGGGGGGCUGAUAUCUAUUUUGCAGAUUCCCUCCCCGCUCAUCUCCUAGAGGGUGUGUGAGUACUUAAGAGGUGCCAUCUGCAAGGUCCUCACCUAUAUACCAUCGGUCGUGGCCAACUGUGUGCUGGGAUUCUAAGAUAAUUGCUGGGCUUCUGGUAGAAUUAUUUCAAGAUUUUCCUUCUGGUCAUCUUCAGCUUUAAAUUCCAUGUUAACAUAUAUGUGAAAAAUCUAUUAGAAGUCCCGCUGAGCUGGUAUUUUUUGCACCCUAUUUCUUAAGGAGGCCGAUGCCGUUGGCCGUUCCUGGAAAUGAAUCUGGAGGAAGCCACUUGUUCUUCAUUCAGGCAAAUGCAUGAAAUGUUCCAAAAGUACGUCCAUGCCCUUCUGAUUUUCCUCAGGGGAUCCUGACCGACCCUGUGAUAUGCCCUUUUCCAAACCUGCAUGCUUGACCAGCUUGAACUUUGACCUCC
ensembl:lncRNA